GGGAGAAUAGUUCAAAGGUAGAAUAAACGUUUCCAAAACGUUUGAUGGAGGUUCGAAUCCUUCUUUUCCUG
rnacentral:tRNA from 1 species